CAAGAAUCACCUUUCUUCCAGUCUCUAAUGCAUUGUUCUCACUUUCCUAUAAACCCUCACCAACAUUCUCCUCCCACUACUGGCUUCUCCAGUGCCCUUUAGGCUUUCUCUGACACUUUCUUCAAAGUCCUUUCAGCUUCUGCCCUCUGCUCAGUUCCAAAGACGCUCCCACAUUGGUGGACCUCUCCACAAGGCUACUUGAGCAGCCUCACAACAUGGUAGCUGCUUCCCCAGGGCAAGUGAUCCAAGAGCAAAGGUUGAAGUCACAAUGCCCUUAUGACUUAGCCUUGGAUGUGACACACCAUCACUUCUGCAGUAUUCUACUGGUAACACUGACCAGCUCUGAUUCAGUUUGAGAAAAGAGGACACAAAAGCAUGAAUAACAGGAGGAUGGAUAUAGAAUACCAGCAUCAGCAAGUGUACACGAUUUAAAGCACAUUUGGUAUCUAUUACCAAGCUGCCCUUCAGAGAGGUUGUCUCGUUACACAUUCCACAGCUGUGACUGAGAAACCGUCUUGUCGCAUUUGACAAUCCAGGUUACUAUCUAAAAACUUGAGUUUGUAAGAGCAACACGCCAUGAGAUAAUAUUCGUGCAAAUGUAACUGACAAAAGACUAACAUCCCAUAAUACUAGAGCACCUACAAACCAAGAAGAUAAACAUCCCAUUGGGAAAGUGUAAAAAUAUGAACAUAAAGUUUACAGAAGAAAAAACACAAAUGGCUCAUAAACACACAAAAAGAUGAUAUUGCUUCCUGGUAAUUGGGGAAAUGCAAACAAAAACUACAAUGAAAUAUCGUGGUAUCGUGUAUCAAAUUUGCAGAGCAUAAAAUAGAUUACAUUCGCAACCAGCAACUACAACCCAACCUUCAGCCUCACUGGACUUCUUGCCAUUCCCCAAACCAUAUCCACGCCCCUCUCCACAGGCUGUUCCUUCUGCCUGCAUGCCCUCGAUGGCACCAAGGGGGAUGGGCACACUAACACAACUGCUGGGAAUGGGAAAGUUUCAACCUCUUGGGAAUAAAAUCUAACAGUAUUUAUUGGAAUGUAACCUGUGCAUACUCCACAGCUGGGCCACUACCCUGCAAGAACCCCUCUGGCUGCUGCACAAAGCUCUUCUCUGCAUCCUUUUUUAUACUAGUGGAACCCUGGACACAGCCUGCAUAUGGAUCAAAAGGGCAGUGGUUAUAAAUAUACUAUGGUCCAUCUCUAGGCUAGACUGUGAUGCAGUGGUUAAAGCCAAGUAUUGCAGAAGAGUGAUUAAGCAUUCGUGCUCCAAAGCCAGAUAGCCUAGGUUUCAAUCCCAGCUUUGCCACUUACUUGCUGUGUGAUCUUGUGCAACUCACUUAGCCUUUCUGUGUCACAGUUUCUCCAUCUGUAUAACGGACGAUAACACUAGCCCCUACCUCAUAGGGUCAUUGUGAAGAGUAAAUGAAAUUAAUAUUGCCUAUGUCACAGAGUGAUCCUCCUCAAAAUCUAUUAGAUGAAAAAAGAAAUUUCUAGAAAUUAUCUACAUACAUAUUCUGAUGGGAUUUGUGUAAAGAAUUUAACCAACAAACCCAUAUUACACACACAUACACACACACUCACACAGACACACUCACACACACACACACGCACUCACGUGCGUAGAAGUAGAUCUAGGAAGAUCCAUGACACACAUGCGAGGCAGGUGAAUGGGGACAUUAAAAGGAGGACUUCCACGUUUAAUUCUGAAUGGUCUAUUUUAUUUGUGCAAUUUUUA
rnacentral:lncRNA from 10 species